rnacentral:rRNA from 1 species
GACGAACCGCCCUAACGUUGUUCGGAAUCACUGGGCUUAAAGGGCGCGUAGGCGGAGCGGAAAGUCAGGGGUGAAAUCCCAUAGCUCAACUAUGGAAGAGCCUUUGAUACUUCCGUUCUCGAGGGAGGCAGGGGAGCGGCGGAAGCUUCCGGUGGAGCGGUGAAAUGCGUAGAUAUCGGAAGGAACACCGGUGGCGAAGGCGGCAUACUGGACCACAUCUGACGCUGAGGCGCGAAAGCCAGG